rnacentral:rRNA from 1 species
GCUCCCUGGCCUUCGUGCCUGAGUAGUCAGGAACUGUCCAGAGACCCGCCUUCGCCACUGGUCUUCCUCACGAUAUCUACGCAUUUCACUGCUACACCGGGAAUUCCAGCCUCCUCUCCAGUCCUCAAGCACGCCAGUAUCAAAUGCAGUUUCGGAGUUAAGCUCCGAAAUUUCACACCUGACUUAGCGCGCCACCUACGCACCCUUUACGCCCAAUGAAUCCGAU